AGUGUAUGUACGUAACACUGUCAAUACAAAAAAGACAUAAACCGGAAUCCGUCUAUCAAAAAGGUUUAUCUUUUAAGUUGUGUACAACAUGUUAUUCUCUGUCAUACUUUAGAUUUCCUUAUUGAGUGUUUUGUCCGGGAAAACGUGUAUUAUCAAGUAAAGUUUUGUACUUUGGAUAACAAAUACUUGAAGACUGUUGGAAAUGGACAGAGAAACAGCCGAUUUCACAGAUAAACAGGCAAGUAUGGACCACAGGCAAAAGAUUGCACUUUUCCAAAGUAUAGGAAAAGCCACACAGCCUCCACAAAAAAAACCAGACGUUCCAAGAAAAAAAAUUCCAACAAGCACAACCAGCUCCAACGCCGGAUGAUGAGUCCCCUCAAAGUCAGUCACCAAAAGAGACAGAUGCGUUUGAUAAGAAAACCGGCAAUGAAUUCGACAAAGAAUUACGUGUGAAAAUGGUAGACGUGUCUGCCAGUCAAAGCCGCAGGUGGUCUCCAAAUGAAAUGGAAAUAUUCCAACAUCCCAUGUGCUUGAUCAGUGCUGAAAAUGUAAAAAACGAAAUUGAAGAAGAAACUAAAAUACUUUUAAAGAGCGAGGAACAAGUAUUUGAUCAAAUAGCAAAGAUAGAUUGGCCAAUGGUUGUUGUAGCCGUCGCGGGUUUGUACAGAACUGGAAAGUCAUAUCUAAUGAAUCGUCUGGCGGACUCGAGC